rnacentral:rRNA from 1 species
AACAAACGCUGGCGGCGUGCCUAAUACAUGCAAGUCGAACGGGGAAAGCUUUCGGGUGAGUACUAGUGGCGCACGGGUGAGGAACGCGUGGAUAAUCUGCCUUAGAGUGGGGGAUAACUAGUCGAAAGAUUAGAUAAUACCGCAUAAGACCACAGGAGCUGCGGCUCAAGGGGUCAAAGGUUUUUCGCUCUAAGAUGAGUCCGCGUAAGAUUAGCUAGUUGGUGAGGUAACGGCUCACCAAGGCGACGAUUUUUAACUGGUCUGAAAGGAUGAACAGUCACACUGGACCUGAGACACGGUCCAGACUCCUACGGGAGGCAGCAGUAGGGAAUAUUGCACAACGGAGGAAACUCGGAUGCAGCGACGCCGCGUGAGUGAUGAAGGCCUUCGGGUCGUAAAGCUCUGUCGCAGUGGAAUAACACAAUGAAUGUACCCUGUAAGAAAGGAUCGGCUAACUUCGUGCCAGCCGCCGCCGUAAAAC